AGCGAACGCUGGCGACAGGCUUAACACAUGCAAGUCGAGCGGGCAUCCUUGUGGUGUCAGCGGCAGACGGGUGAGUAACGCGUGGGAACGUGCCCUUCGGUUCGGAAUAACUCAGGGAGACUUGAGCUAAUACCGGAUACGUGCGAGGGCAGAAAGGUUUAUCUGCCGAAGGAUCGGCCCGCGUCUGAUUAGCUAGUUGGUGAGGUUAUGGCUCACCAAGGCGACGAUCAGUAGCUGGUCUGAGAGGAUGAUCAGCCACACUGGGACUGAGACACGGCCCAGACUCCUACGGGAGGCAGCAGUGGGGAAUAUUGGACAAUGGGGGCAACCCUGAUCCAGCCAUGCCGCGUGAGUGAUGACGGCCUUAGGGUUGUAAAGCUCUUUUCUCCGGGACGAUAAUGACGGUACCGGAGGAAUAAGCCCCGGCUAACUUCGUG
rnacentral:rRNA from 1 species